rnacentral:rRNA from 1 species
GACGAACGCUGGCGGCGUGCUUAAUACAUGCAAGUCGAACGGAAGUAGCAAUACUUUAGUGGCGCACGGGUGAGGAACACGUAGAUGAUCUGCCCUUGAGAUCGAGAUAACCCCGGGAAACUGGGGCUAAUACCGGAUAAUGCAUUAUUAUUGGAUUAAUAAUGUUAAAGCGGCGCAAGUCGCACUUGAGGAUGAGUCUGCGACCUAUCAGUUAGUUGGCGGUGUAAUGGACCACCAAGGCAAAGACGGGUAGCUGAUCUGAGAGGAUGAUCAGCCACACUGGGACUGAGACACGGCCCAGACUCCUACGGGAGGCAGCAGUAGGGAAUAUUGCGCAAUGGGGGAAACCCUGACGCAGCGACGCCGCGUGAGUGAUGAAGGCCUUUCUGGUUGUAAAGCUCUGUAAGGAGGGAAGAAUGUCAGGCAGUAACGUGUCUGAGUGACGGUACCUCCGGAGUAAGGACCGGACUAAAGUACGUGCCAGCACG